AAAAACUACUUAUAUUUAAACUUAAGAAAUGAAACGAGAAACAUAUUGCCGAUUUAGAGGCUGGUAUAUUUCUGAAUCUCACACAGUAUAUUAUUACAUUCAUGUCUCUUCAAAACAAGUCCAGGAAUUAAUUAAUAUCUACGUUUUUGUUUCAUGGAAUUAAUUCUAUGAGCUGCCCGGUGGCAAUGCUAUGCACAGCUUGUAG